AUGAACGCUGGCGGCGUGCUUAACACAUGCAGGUCGAACGAAGCAUUUAAGACAGAUUACUUCGGUUUGAAGUCUUUUAUGACUGAGUGGCGGACGGGUGAGUAACGCGUGGGUAACCUGCCUCAUACAGGGGGAUAGCAGCUGGAAACGGCUGGUAAUACCGCAUAAGCGCACAGUACCACAUGGUACAGUGUGAAAAACUCCGGUGGUAUGAGAUGGACCCGCGUCUGAUUAGCUUGUUGGCGGGGUAACGGCCCACCAAGGCGACGAUCAGUAGCCGACCUGAGAGGGUGACCGGCCACAUUGGGACUGAGACACGGCCCAGACUCCUACGGGAGGCAGCAGUGGGGAAUAUUGCACAAUGGAGGAAACUCUGAUGCAGCGACGCCGCGUGAGUGAAGAAGUAGUUCGCUAUGUAAAGCUCUAUCAGCAGGGAAGAUAGUGACGGUACCUGACUAAGAAGCUCCGGCUAAAUACGUG
rnacentral:rRNA from 1 species